UCCCUGGUGGCUCAGACGGUAAAGCAUCUGCCUACAAUGCAGGAGACCUGGGUUCGAUCCCUGGGUCGGGAA
rfam:TPA: Bos taurus chromosome 12, whole genome shotgun sequence.